AGUAACGCGUGAGUAACCUGCCUUACACAAGGGGAUAGCCUUUGGAAACGAAGAAUAAUACCCUAUAAAACCAUAAAAGCACAUGCUAGAAUGGUCAAAGUGAUAGCGGUGUAGGAUGGACUUGCGUCUGAUUAGCUAGUUGGUGAGAUAAAAGCUCACCAAGGCAACGAUCAGUAGCCGGCUUGAGAGAGUGUACGGCCACAUUGGGACUGAGACACGGCCCAG
rnacentral:rRNA from 1 species